AUUGAACGCUGGCGGCAUGCGUAACACAUGCAAGUCGAACGGUGUUUGGUGCUUGCACCAGACAUAGUGGCGGACGGGUGAGUAAUGCGUAGGAAUCUGUCUUAGAGAGGGGGACAACCCGAGGAAACUUGGGCUAAAACCGCAUAUUCUCGAGAGAGGAAAGCAGGGGACCGGAAACGGCCUUGUGCUCUAAGGUGAGCCUACGUCGGAUUAGCUAGUUGGUAGGGUAAAAGCCUACCAAGGCGAUGAUCUGUAGCUGGUCUGAGAGGACGGACAGCCACACUGGGACUGAGACACGGCCCAGACUCCUACGGGAGGCAGCAGUGGGGAAUAUUGGACAAUGGGGGGAACCCUGAUCCAGCGAUGCCGCGUGUGUGAAGAAGGCCUGCGGGUUGUAAAGCACUUUCAGUGGGAAAGAGAAGCGUCUUGUGAAUAAUGGGACGUGGAGACGUUACUCACAGAAGAAGCACCGGCUAACUCUGUGCCAGCAGCCGCGGUAAU
rnacentral:rRNA from 1 species